rnacentral:rRNA from 1 species
GCAGCGACGCCGCGUGAGGGAUGACGGCCUUCGGGUUGUAAACCUCUUUCAGUAGGGAAGAAGCGUAAGUGACGGUACCUGCAGAAGAAGCGCCGGCUAACUACGUGCCAGCAGCCGCGGUAAUACGUAGGGCGCAAGCGUUAUCCGGAAUUAUUGGGCGUAAAGAGCUCGUAGGCGGUUUGUCGCGUCUGCCGUGAAAGUCCGGGGCUCAACUCCGGAUCUGCGGUGGGUACGGGCAGACUAGAGUGAUGUAGGGGAGACUGGAAUUCCUGGUGUAGCGGUGAAAUGCGCAGAUAUCAAGAGGAACACCGAUGGCGAAGGCAGGUCUCUGGGCAUUAACUGACGCUGAGGAGCGAAAGCAUGGGGAGCGAACAGGAUUAGAUACCCUGGUAGUCCAUGCCGUAAACGUUGGGCACUAGGUGUGGGGGACAUUCCACGUUUUCCGCGCCGUAGCUGACGCAUUAAGUGCCCCGCCUGGGGAGUACGGCCGCAAGGCUAAAACUCAGAGGAAUUGACGGGGGCCCGCACAAGCGGCGGAGCAUGCGGAUUAGUUCGAUGCAUCGCGAAGAACCUUACCAAGGCUUGACAUGAACCGGAUACGCCUGGAAACAGGUGCCCCACUUGU